CUUCUCAAUGAACCUUUCAGCACCAUUCAUCUGCGAGUUCUUCAGGGAUCCUCAAGAGAAAGCUUUGCCGUAUAUGGACUUUGUAUUUGGAAAUGAGACAGAAGCAAGAACCUUCUCAAUGAACCUUUCAGCACCAUUCAUCUGCGAGUUCUUCAGGGAUCCUCAAGAGAAAGCUUUGCCGUAUAUGGACUUUGUAUUUGGAAAUGAGACAGAAGCAAGAACCUUCUCAAAAGUACACGGCUGGGAGACGGAUAAUGUUGAAGAAAUAGCUUUG
rnacentral:misc_RNA from 1 species